GGCCUCGUAGCUCACCUGGUAGAGCAUGCGCUGUACAAAAGCGUGGGCGGUGUCCAUGUGUGGGUUCGAAUCCCGCUGAGACUA
rnacentral:tRNA from 1 species